UACGGAGGGUGCAAGCGUUAUCCGGAUUCACUGGGUUUAAAGGGUGCGUAGGUGGGUUGGUAAGUCAGUGGUGAAAUCUCCGAGCUUAACUUGGAAACUGCCAUUGAUACUAUCAGUCUUGAAUACUGUGGAGGUCAGCGGAAUAUGUCAUGUAGCGGUGAAAUGCUUAGAUAUGACAUAGAACACCAAUUGCGAAGGCAGCUGGCUGGACAAAUAUUGACACUGAGGCACGAAAGCUAGGGGAGCAAACAGG
rnacentral:rRNA from 1 species